rnacentral:rRNA from 1 species
UAAUACGUAGGGUCCAAGCGUUAAUCGGAAUUACUGGGCGUAAAGCGUGCGCAGGCGGUUGUGUAAGCCAGAUGUGAAAUCCCCGGGCUUAACCUGGGAAUGGCAUUUGGGACUGCACGGCUAGAGUACGGCAGAGGAGACUAGAAUUCCUGGUGUAGCAGUGAAAUGCGUAGAUAUCAGGAGGAAUACCGAUGGCGAAGGCAGGUCUCUGGGUCGAUACUGACGCUCAUGCACGAAAGCGUGGGGAGCAAACAGGAUUAGAUACCCUGGUAGUCCACGCCCUAAACGAUGUCAACUGGUUGUUGGGGAAUUGAUUUCCUUAGUAACGAAGCUAACGCGUGAAGUUGACCGCCUGGGGAGUACGGUCGCAAGAUUA